rnacentral:lncRNA from 1 species
CACCUCAAGCAUUCACAUCUUUCCUCUCUUCUCUCCACUUUCUCUCUUCUUUUCCAUUCCAAAAUUUCCUUGCUCUCUCACCAAUUUCUCCUCUUGGGAAAGGGACAUUGAUCAGCUAUUUGGAGCAAAAAUUAAGUGUUCAUAGCAGCCUCAGUCAACGAGGACAAUGAAGAAGGAAGAACGGAGCAAUUAGUCAAGCUAUAGAAAAACACCAGAUUUGAUUCUUGUUCCCUGUCUCUUUGAUUUUUGUUGUUAUGCUAAACAUAUCUAUGAAUAUUUAUGUUGUUGGAAUG